GAUAAACGUUUGCGGCGUGCCUGAUGCAUGCAAGUCGAACGCCCUGAUUUUUCGCAAGAUUGAUCAGGGAGUGGCGAACGGCUGAGUAACGCGUUGGUGACCUGCCCCAAAGUGUGGGAUAACAGUCCGAAAGGAUUGCUAAUACCGCAUGUGGUCAUCGGGUUUAGAAACCGGUGACUAAAGCAGUAAUGCGCUUUGGGAGGGGCCUGCGUCCCAUCAGCUAGUUGGUAGGGUAACGGCCUACCAAGGCUACGACGGGUAGGGGACCUGAGAGGGUGGCCCCCCACAAUGGAACUGAAACACGGUCCAUACACCUACGGGAGGCAG
rnacentral:rRNA from 1 species